rnacentral:rRNA from 1 species
UGGGGAAUAUUGGACAAUGGGGGCAACCCUGAUCCAGCGAUGCCGCGUGAGUGAAGAAGGCCUUCGGGUCGUAAAGCUCUUUAGUUUGGGAAGAAGUGUGGUGGAGGAAAUGCUGCCACAUUGACGGUACCGAAAGAAUAAGCACCGGCAAACUCUGUGCCAGCAGCCGCGGUAAUACAGAGGGUGCGAGCGUUAAUCGGAGUUACUGGGCGUAAAGGGCGCGUAGGCGGUGAUAUGAGUGUGAUGUGAAAGCCCCGGGCUUAACCUGGGAAGUGCAUCGCAAACGAUAUGACUAGAGUAUAUGAGAGGGUGGCGGAAUUUCCGGUGUAGCGGUGAAAUGCGUAGAGAUCGGAAGGAACGUCAAUGGCGAAGGCAGCCACCUGGCAUAAUACUGACGCUGAGGCGCGAAAGCGUGGGGAGCGAACA